AGUGAACGCUGGCGGUAGGCCUAACACAUGCAAGUCGAACGGCAGCACAGUAAGAGCUUGCUCUUACGGGUGGCGAGUGGCGGACGGGUGAGGAAUACAUCGGAAUCUACUUUUUCGUGGGGGAUAACGUAGGGAAACUUACGCUAAUACCGCAUAUGACCUACGGGUGAAAGCAGGGGAUCUUCGGACCUUGCGCGAUUGAAUGAGCCGAUGUCGGAUUAGCUAGUUGGCGGGGUAAAGGCCCACCAAGGCGACGAUCCGUAGCUGGUCUGAGAGGAUGAUCAGCCACACUGGAACUGAGACACGGUCCAGACUCCUACGGGAGGCAGCAGUGGGGAAUCUUGGACAAUGGGCGCAAGCCUGAUCCAGCCAUACCGCGUGGGUGAAGAAGGCCUUCGGGUUGUAAAGCCCUUUUGUUGGGAAAGAAAAGCAGCAGGUUAAUACCCCGCUGUUCUGACGGUACCCAAAGAAUAAGCACCGGCUAACUUCGUG
rnacentral:rRNA from 1 species